rnacentral:rRNA from 1 species
AUACAGAGGGUGCAAGCGUUAUUCGGAAUUACUGGGCGUAAAGCGCGCGUAGGCGGAUGAUUAAGUCAGUUGUGAAAGCCCUGGGCUCAACCUAGGAACUGCAUCUGAUACUGGUCGUCUAGAGUUUAAGAGAGGGAAGUGGAAUUCCAGGUGUAGCAGUGAAAUGCGUAGAUAUCUGGAGGAACAUCAGUGGCGAAGGCGACUUCCUGGCUUAAAUCUGACGCUGAGGUGCGAAAGCGUGGGUAGCGAACGGGAUUAGAAACCCUAGUAGUCC